rnacentral:lncRNA from 1 species
UCGCAUUCUGCCAGUGUUGACCUUUGUCCAUUAAAAAUUCAAUAUCUGGAGCUGUAGAUAUCCAAUUGAUGCAAACUCAAUUGUUUUGGAUUCCUGACUCAAAUGUCUACAAACGCUCCAAAUUUCAGCCAAAAACGAUGUCAUAUGAGGGAGAUAUGAUUUUGCAAAGAUGACAACUGAAUUCUGCCAGCAAACAGGUUUCGUGAAGAAACGAAUCCAAAUUACAUCCCGAAGCAUCAAAACCGGCAUCCAAGUUUUAAUUUCAGCAAUUUAGCUCCUCAAGUAAAUCAAUCCAGAAGGUCAAGGAAGGCAGCCACCAACCUCAAGCCACCAACCUCAAACCACCAACCACAAACCAGCUGCCAACCACCAGCCGCCAGCCGCCAGCCGCCAGCCGCCUUCACACUACCACCAUCUCUUGAUGUUCACACUUGAACUUUGAAUUUUCUUACUUACAAUUUGUGUAUAAAUAGGCAGCUAAGUUCAUGAUAUUAAGAGAGCCAACAGAGAGGGAGAGGGAGUGCAGUAGAAUCAAAGAAAGAAGGGUGGCAGCC